UACGAAGGGGGCUAGCGUUGCUCGGAAUCACUGGGCGUAAAGGGUGCGUAGGCGGGUCUUUAAGUCAGGGGUGAAAUCCUGGAGCUCAACUCCAGAACUGCCUUUGAUACUGAGGAUCUUGAGUACGAGAGAGGUGAGUGGAAUUCCCAGUGUAGAGGUGAAAUUCGUAGAUAUUGGGAAGAACACCGGUGGCGAAGGCGGCUCACUGGCUCGUAACUGACGCUCAGGCGCGAUAGCGUGGGGAUCAAACAGG
rnacentral:rRNA from 1 species